AAAAUUACACUCUUUUGAUUUAUUUGAACAAUGGCAGUCUUAUUUUGUCUAAUGAGUUCAUGCUAAUUCACAGGUGUAGAUUUUUUAAAAAUCACACUGAUGAAGAGUGAACAUUUGCAAGGGAACUAGUGACGUGUUGCCCUCCAAAAAGCGGGAGAGUGAAGUGGAAGCAUCACUCAAGGCAGACAAAGAAGGCACUGCAUGCUCGCUUGCAGCUGCUGCAGCUCUCUGCGGCGCUCUUCAAGUUGGAUCUGAUGGAUUCAAACGUGAACAUCGCAAGCCUCUUUGGUGUGCAUCUCCUCGGAGGCGGACGACGCCACUUUCUGGAUGAUGGGGGCGAUGUUGGUGGGUCCGUACAGCUGAAUCUUGGGAAGGCAAUUCUGGUAGGCCUCGACUACGCCUUGGAUCCCUGCAAAUACAUCAC